rnacentral:rRNA from 1 species
UUAUUUUAGCGGCGGACGGGUGAGUAACGUGUGGGUAACCUGCCUUUUACUGGGGAAUAAUCGUUGGAAACGACGACUAAUACCGCAUACGGUUCUUGGAAGGCAUCUUCUAAGAAAGAAAGGAUUUAUUCGGUAAAAGAUGGGCCCGCAUCUGAUUAGCUAGUUGGUGAGAUAAUAGCCCACCAAGGCAACGAUCAGUAGCCGACCUGAGAGGGUGACCGGCCACAUUGGGACUGAGACACGGCCCAAACUCCUACGGAAGGCAGCAG